AGCUUAAGCGUUUCUCCGAAGAAGUUAAUGCGGAUUGCACUGCCUUGUCGGGCAUGAAAUUUUUCCAUUUGACACGGGGCAUGGUGCUGUCGGUGGCUGGAACAAUAUUGACCUAUGAACUGGUGCUGCUACAAUUGACUAAGACCGAAGUUGUGUCGGAUUGCCAUUAGAGCAGAGGAGGGGAAGAAAAAAAAUACAUUUUUGAAAAUAAGCAUUAAAUAAACAUAUUUGAAUGUUAUCUAACCAAUAAACGUGGAUUUUUUAAAGAAUA